rnacentral:rRNA from 1 species
GAUGAACGCUGGCGGCGUGCCUAAUACAUGCAAGUCGAGCGAACGGACGAGAAGCUUGCUUCUCUGAUGUUAGCGGCGGACGGGUGAGUAACACGUGGAUAACCUACCUAUAAGACUGGGAUAACUUCGGGAAACCGUAGCUAAUACCGGAUAAUAUUUUGAACCGCAUGGUUCAAAAGUGAAAGACGGUCUUGCUGUCACUUAUAGAUGGAUCCGCGCUGCAUUAGCUAGUUGGUAAGGUAACGGCUUACCAAGGCAACGAUGCAUAGCCGACCUGAGAGGGUGAUCGGCCACACUGGAACUGAGACACGGUCCAGACUCCUACGGGAGGCAGCAGUAGGGAAUCUUCCGCAAUGGGCGAAAGCCUGACGGAGCAACGCCGCGUGAGUGAUGAAGGUCUUCGGAUCGUAAAACUCUGUUACUAGGGAAAAACAUAUGUGUAAGUAACUGUGCACAUCUUGACGGUACCUAAUCAGAAAGCCACGGCUAACUACGUG